UCUGUUUUUCCUUUCUCCAGUUCAUCCUUUGCUUCAUGUGCUUGAAUGUUUACUGUUUCUGUUCAUUUGGAGGAUAUGGUUUACUGUAAUUGUGCCGUUUUAGUUAUAUGUCUUGAUGAUUUCCUCGAUUACGUACUUGAUCUAUUAGUUAGUUUCACCCUUUUUUUUUCUCUUUACUAGAACCAAUUUGACAAGGCCAAUUGGACCAAAGAAAACACACAUAUUUUGUGAACUUGAACAAAUUAGGGAAGGGAAUUGCCCUGGUGGGCAGAUGAAAGAGGGGGAGCAGCACCACAGAUACAGCCACAAGUCCACCCAAGAAGCACAAGAGUCCAAUGCUCAAGUGCAUGAAGAACUUCAUGGACCACAUACAAAAUGGUGGCAGCAAAGAUGUUGAUGUGGCCAGGCAGAUUGCCAGCAUGAAGAAAGAAGAGAAGAGGCUGGAGGAGCAAAAAGUUGAGCAGAGAUAGAAAGAUGUAUGGAGCUGGUGAAAGAAAGUGGAGCAACUGAGAAUUCAAAGUUCUAUAUUGCUACUAUGCUGUUUGCACAGAAAUACAACCAAACAGUGUUUUGCAAAUUUACCACAAGUGCAGGCAGGAUGGCAUGGUUACAGAAGUGCAGUCGUGAUUGGAGAGCUUAAACCAUUGUGAUGUGUACUACAUAAUGUUUGUUUGAACUUGUGUGAUGUGAACUAUUUGAAUUUCUGGAGUGAACAAUUUCAAUUUCUGGUGUGAACCCUUUGAAAUUGUGCUGUUGUUGUUUAAUAGAAGUUCCUGUUGUGAUUAUCUACAAGUUUCUGUGGUGUUCAGUUAAAUUUGUGCUGCUGAGCUAAAUUUAUUUUUAUGGUGAUGUGACCCAUUUGCAUUGUAUACGCGGGAAGAAGAUAGUUAAGAGGAUGAAUGAUUGAAAAUUAUGUGAUGCAGUGUCGGAAGAAGAAGAUGAAGUUUGCUGCUGCCGCUGCCUUGAUCGGUAUGAACCACUACGACACAUACUGGGGCAAAGCUGAGUAUAGAGUACCAAUAGAAACUGGUUACCAAUGGGUCAUAAGAAGCCUAGGAAGUACCACAUAUUGCUACCGGAAUUUUAGGAUGAAUAGGAAUGUGUUUGACCUUCUGCAUAAUGUGCUUGUUGGUUCAUAUGGUUUGACGUCCACGAGAAAGAUGUCAUAUGUAGAGGCUUUAGGUCUUUUCUUGUGGAUGUGUGGUUGCCCCCAGGGCACGAGGUAGGCUGAUGAUCGAUUGAAAAGGUCCAAAGAAACAUGCAGUGGGACGUUUGAUAAGGUACUGCGAAGUUUGAACAAGCUUGCAGGUGAUCUCAUUAGACCAUUAGACCCUGUAUUUAGCACUACUCAUCCGAGGUUGCAAUCUGCCUGGUUCUCUCCAUACUUUGACAAUUGCAUAGGAGCUAUAGAUGGUACACACAUACUUGUUGUAGUGCCAGCAAAUCAGGUUGUACAACAUAUGGGAAGGAAGGGCUUCAUAAGUCAGAAUGUGCUGGCCAUAUGUGACUUUGAUAUGAGAUUUUCUUUUGUCGUUGCCGGAUGGCCUGGCUCGGUUCAUGAUUCAAUGAUGCAAUUGACAAGUAUGGCGACAAGUUUCCACAUCCACCUCAAGGGAAGUUUUAUUUUUUGUACUCGGGGUACCCAAACCGCCCGUGUUACCUUGCACCGUACAGGGGAAAAAAGUAUCAUCUCCCUGAGUUUCGACAAGGACCAAUGCCAAGAGGUAAAAAAGAGCUCUUCAAUUAUGCACACUCCUCACUUCGUAAUGUCAUCGAGCGGUCUUUUGAAGUGUUGAAGAACAAGUGGAGGAUUUUGUUGCAUUUACCGAGUUAUCCGAUGUGGAAGCAAAGCAAAAUAAUUAUCGCAUGCAUAGCAAUUCAUAAUUUUAUUAGAGAGAGUGCUAUGGAAGAUGACGACUUUGAUGUGUGUGAUCAUGAUGAGAACUAUGUUCCUUCGUUCGAAUAAGGUGCAUCGGCUUCUCAAGCAAAUGGAACUAGUAAUCGUCAUGGGGACGAAGACCAAGAUAUGAAUCGGUUUUGGAAGUGGAUAGCUGAUGGUUUGUUUAGUUGGUCCUAGUUUUGAUGAUUUGUAACAACAUUUUUGCA